rnacentral:rRNA from 1 species
UAAGGAAUAUUGGUCAAUGGACGCAAGUCUGAACCAGCCAUGCCGCGUGAAGGAUGAAGGUCCUCUGGAUUGUAAACUUCUUUUAUCUGGGACGAAAACGGGAUUUUUAUCUCAAUUGACGGUACCAGAGGAAUAAGCACCGGCUAACUCCGUGCCAGCAGCCGCGGUAAUACGGAGGGUGCGAGCGUUAUCCGGAUUUACUGGGUUUAAAGGGUGCGUAGGUGGGCUUAUAAGUCAGUGGUGAAAUCUCCGAGCUUAACUUGGAAACUGCCGUUGAUACUAUAGGUCUUGAAUUAUCUGGGGGUGAGCGGAAUAUGUCAUGUAGCGGUGAAAUGCUUAGAUAUGACAUAGAACACCAAUUGCGAAGGCAGCUUACUACAUAUAAAUUGACGCUGAGGCACGAAAGCGUGGGGAUCAAACA